AUUGAACGCUGGCGGCAGGCCUAACACAUGCAAGUCGAGCGGAUGAAGGGAGCUUGCUCCUGGAUUCAGCGGCGGACGGGUGAGUAAUGCCUAGGAAUCUGCCUGGCAGUGGGGGAUAACGUCCGGAAACGGGCGCUAAUACCGCAUACGUCCUGAGGUAGAACGUGGGGGAUCUUCGGACCUCACGCUAUCAGAUGAGCCUAGGUCGGAUUAGCUAGUUGGUGGGGUAAAGGCCUACCAAGGCGACGAUCCGUAACUGGUCUGAGAGGGUGAUCAGCCACACUGGAACUGAGACACGGUCCAGACUCCUACGGGAGGCAGCAGUAGGGAAUCUUGGACAAUGGGCGAAAGCCUGAUCCAGCCAUGCCGCGUGUGUGAAGAAGGUCUUCGGAUUGUAAAGCACUUUUAGUUGGGAGGAAGAACAGUAAGUUAAUACCUUGCUGUUUUGACGUUACCAACAGAAUAAGCACCGGCUAACUACGUG
rnacentral:rRNA from 1 species